CUUCGCUCUCCCGCGCUGCGCCCAGCCAAUCCGAAGGCGACAGGAGCGCUCCUUCUGUCACGCCCCUACGCCGUCCAGCCACGCCUCCCUCGGCUCCCUUUGCAAGUCUGCCUGGGUUGAAGGUCUUUUGUUGUUGUUUAUUCGUUCAUUCGCUUCCGACUCUUCCUGACCUCAUGGACCAGCCCGUGCCAGAGCUUCCUAUCGGCCGUCGCCACGCUCCGCUCCUUUAAGGCUAUUUUCCUGAACUGCAAAAGAAUGUUUCAGCUGAAUAUAUUGUCUAUCAUGCAGUGCACAAACAGGGUAAGUCCUUGAAAUCAUAAUUUAUCAUUAGACUGGAGUCCAAUUACAAUAGCUUACAUAAUAACCCAGAAAAUGCCUUAUUUUGUAUAAAUGAUAGAACACAAGACUUAUUUGUCAGGGAUAAUUUAAGAAGUACUACUUGUGUAAAAAUACAUGUGUGUUAUAAGAUCCUAUACACUUUUUGUGCAAUGGAAUUGCAUUCUACUGAUUCUCACAAUUGUACUUCGUCCCUAAAAUAAAAAUAUCCUUUCCCCAAUCUCACCUAAAUAACUCAAGAUAGUCUGUCAGCUAAUUGUUCUUACUCAAUAGUGAACAAUAGGUACUUUGCAUUUGAUAAAAAAUACUUCUUUCGUCUAAAUAUUGGUUUUAAAUAUAAUACAGAGAAUCACUUAGUAAAUGGUGAAUUAAAAAUAGGCACACCAUAUCAAACUGAACUUAAAACAACAAUGUGGGAAUCAUGUGAAGAAUCAGACUGCAGUGGGAUGCAGAGUAGGUUGGUUUUCAUAAACAGUAAACACUCCAGUCUUUCGGCAAUAGCUAACAGUACAAACCUAUCUGUUCAGAACUAGGUUCCACAGAAUUUUUUUAAAGGACUUUUGCCCUAGUACUAAGGUUUUUGGUACAGGAAUGCAGCCUGAGAGCAAGAUUCAGAAGCAUCAAGAAAGUUAUAUUAGCAUCAACUAUAAAUGAUAUACAUGGUAACCUUAGUUAAGAAAGUGCCCUAUUGAGUAUUAACCAUGUUACACUCAUAGCUGUUUCUCUAAAAAGGAGCUGUUAUAUGGCAUUCCACAAGGUACCAUUCAAUCCCCAAUGAGAUCAUCUGUAGGCAUGUAGUGGGGUUUUAUCAGUAUGCUGAUGACACCCAAAUAUAUUUCUCCAUGCCUUCAAAACGGCUUUAGCUAAGGAUAAUGUGUCUCCUUUGAAUGAAUGCCUGGAGGUGGUAAUGGGCUGGAUGAGGAAAAACAAAUUGACAUUGAAUCCUAACAAACCAGAGGUCAUCAAGAGUCCUAAUCUGGGGGUGGAGGUGUGUUAACCAGUUCUGGAUGGGGUUACACUCCCCCUGAAAGUCUGUGGUUGCAGCUUGGGAAUGCUCCUGGAUCCGUUCUCCAAAUGUCAGUCCAGGUAGAUGCAACACUCAGGAGUGCUUACUACCAGCUUUGGCUGACACACCAGCUGCACCCCUUCCUAGAUUUGGAGGACCUGAAGAUAGUGCAUGCGCUGGUAAACUCAAGGUUGGACUUCUGCAAUGUGCUUUACAUUGGGGCUACCUUUGUACCAAGUUUGGAAACUCCAGUUGGUUCAAAAUACUGCAGACAGACUAGUUACAGGAACAUCGAGGAGUGAGCAUAUUAUAUCCGUAUUAAAGUCACCCCACUGGUUGUCAAUUAGUUUCCAGGCAAAGUACUAAGUGUUGGUUUUGACUUUUAAAGUUUGGGUUUGGGUCCAGGUUCCCUACAGAAUUGCCUUCUCCCAUACAAUUCACCCCUUUGAACACUUAGGUCCUCUAGGGGACGUCUACUGCAGCCUGCCACAACCCGACUGGCAACCGUCACCCAGAGGACCUUUUCGUCGGUCACCCCAAGACUGUGGAAGGACCUGCCAGAAGAUCUCUGACAGCUGAAUGAGUUGUCAGAAUUUAAAACACAUCUGAAAUGCAAAAUCCCACAGAACCUUCCCAGUCUCAACUAUAAU